rnacentral:rRNA from 1 species
CACGUAGGGGGCGAGCGUUGUCCGGAUUUAUUGGGCGUAAAGAGCUCGUAGGCGGUUUUGUAAGUCGGGUGUGAAAACUCUAGGCUCAACCUAGAGACGCCACCCGAUACUGCGAUGACUAGUGUCCGGUAGGGGAGUGUGGAAUUCCUGGUGUAGCGGUGAAAUGCGCAGAUAUCAGGAGGAACACCAACGGCGAAGGCAGCACUCUGGGCCGGAACUGACGCUGAGGAGCGAAAGCGUGGGUAGCGAACAGG